GAUGAAAUAGAGGAGGCUGAUGAGCGAAAGAAAGCAGGGAGCUGCUUGAAUGAGCUGCUGAUGAGAUGGAAACAGGUAGAAGUCAAUCCCUAGAGGGAGGGAUUUUCUUCAAUGGGAAGAGAAACAUCUUUCUCCGAGUCUGAAAGGAAGACAAUGGGGUGGGGGAUGUAGGCAUGAAAAGUUUGUCCGUGGCAUGCCAGAGUCUCAAAACAGAAAAGCAGUUUUAUUGCUACAUUAGAAACAGACCUAGAGGAGGAAAAUCAGACAUACAGAAAAUUCAAAACAAUUGAAAACCCUGGUAAAGAAUAACUGGUGUCUAUAGUAUGUAAUAUUUAAAAGAUGUAAUAUGCAACUGAAUGAUCUGCAUGGUUUUGAUCACCAAAGCAGAAUAUAAUUUACACGUUCGGAAAGAAAAUCACUUAGCAUCAACGUGAUCACCAAGGAAGAAACAGUUCGUGUACCAAGUGGUUAGGUGGUUGCUGCUCAAACAGUGGUCUCACUGGGGGCUUUUUAGAAACACGUUAGACUCCACCCCAGACGAUCUGCAUUUUAAUAAGAUCAUAGGUGAUUUAUACGUACAUUAAAGUUUGAGAAGCAGUAGUUGAGGGCACCACUCCAUUCCCAUUGUGGUAAUGAUAUGGUAAUAAAAGGGACAGAAGUGCUUGUUUAGGUGUGGAAGCAACUGGGCCUAUGGACAUAGAUGGCCAAGAGGUGAUCAGAACACUCCCAGGAUGGUACUUUGCUGAAACCUGGGUGAAAUCAAAAUGGGACAAGAGGAGAAAUUGUUGUAUUAAAUCAAUUGCUUUUUCCAAUAAGGCUGUGCUUACGGACUGAAUGUGUCUCCCAAAAUUCAAAGGUUAAAACCCUAAUUCCUAAUGCGAUAAUAUUAGGAGAUGGGGUCUUUGAGAGGUAAUUUAGUCACGAGGGUGGAGCCCUCAGGAAUGGGAUGCGUGUCCUAAGAGAAGAUAUAACUAGCCCUCUCGACUCUGCCUUGUCAGGACACAAUGAGUAGAUGGCCAUCUGUAAACCAGGAAGCAGCCAGGCUCUCACCAGAUGCUGGAUCUUGCUGCCACCUUGAUCUUGGACUUCUGGCCUCCAGAACUGUGAGGAAUAAAUGUUUGUUAUUUAAGCCACCCAGUGUUUGGUAUUGUUACAGCAGCCCAAACUGACUAAGAC
rnacentral:lncRNA from 1 species